GUUUAGAAAGAUUGCAUAUACUUUAACUUUUUUAAUAAGAAAACAAAUAAGCUUACGUCUCUCUGCCUCCCUCCUUAUCCAGCAACAGUUUCCAGAGUUUAUCACAGUUGAUCAUGGUCUUUCUAAACACAUAAAGAGGCUUUGGUCAAUGAGGAGCCAUACAUAUAACAGUGGUUUCAUUAGAUCAUAAGGUAGCCAAAAAUUUUCUGUAGUUGAGUGGCAUUGUAGCCAUUGUGUAGUUGUGAUGCACUGUGUAACUAGCAUGGGUGAUGAUGCUGGUAUGGAUUAUGUGUUUAAUACUGAGCAGUGCUAAGAGAUUAUCAUGUAACUGUAUCACACCAUACUGUUAUUUUAUAAUGUACUCUUAAAAAAAAGAACAGACUCAUUUUGUUUUUAAAAGUGCAUGUGUGCACCAGGCAGUGGAUGGUCUAGAGCUGGAAUUACAGGUGGUUGUGAGCUGCCCAACAUGGGUGCUGAGAACCCAACUCGGGUCUUCUGGAAGAGUGGUGUGGGCUCUUAACCAUUGAGAUAUCUUUCCAACUCCAUAGAAUAUACUCAUAACACUUGUAAGGAACAGGAUUAUAGUGAAACAGCAUGCCAAGUGACACCAUCAGUGUCUCAUGCAUCUCCCGUAUGCUGCGCUUGAUUGCCGAAUUCCGUCUGAGUAGUGUAAUCUCACAUCUUCUUCAUUGUGAUCCUAGGUGUAAUAAGCUAUACCACAAAGCCUUCUUGUGUAAAACUGCACCAUCUAGGUUUGUGUAACUACCCUUUGGUGUUAACGCAAUGAUGAAAUUGCUCCACACUUUUCUCAGACUGAGAAAUACAUAUAUAUAUAUACAUAUAUAUAUGUAUAUAUAUGUAUAUUUCUGCAUAUGUAUCCUGAAAAUAUGAUAUUUUAACUGUGUAAAAUAUGCCACACUUUUAUUCAUUCUAAGAUGCUUUUCAAAGUCGGUGUUUAUAAUGAUUUAUAUAGUAUCGCUUCAGACAUUUUACAUAAUUUAUCAAUAGAAAAGUAUUGGCUCUAAGCAACAGAAAACUUGAUUAAGGUGGUUUAUCUAUCUUUAUUUUAUGUGCACAGGUGUUUUGCCUGCAUAUAUAUCUGUGUGAGGUGUGAAAUCCACUGGAGUUUGAGUUACAGACAAGUGUGAGCUGCCAUAUGGGUGAUGGGAAUUGAACCCAGGUCCUCUGGAAGAGCAGUCAGUGCUUUUAACCACUGAGCCAUCUCUCCAGCCCCUAAGAUGGCUUACAUAGUAAGAAUCUUUAUUGUCCAAAAAAUCUAGGGUCAGUGAAGUUCAGCAAUCUGAUGACAUUUGACGAUCCAAGUAAUUUUCAGGUUAGUUCAAGAGCUCAGUGCUGUCAUGAAGAGUCUGUCACAUCCCUUUCUCUGCUUUGCUAUUCUCAGAUAAAAGUGAGAAAUUUCAUGUCCUCAGCAUAGCAGCUGUAGGUAUUAUUCAUCACACAGCAGCAUAUAUAGGCAAUAAAAAAGACUGUUCCUCUUCAUAUGCCUCUCUUUUGAGCCAAGGAGCACUUGCAAAUCUCAUUGCAAAAGAUUUAAAUACAGGUAUAUAUGCUAAACCAGUCUCUGGCAAAAGAAAUGAAGCCAUAUUGAAUGUACAAGAGAUUAGCAGGCGGGUUUAUGGGCUACAUCUGUCCUGCUGGGUGGUUUUGCACAGCCCAUGAACUAUGGCUAUUGUAUUUUUUAAAGACUUCCUAAUUUUUGUUUUUUAUGUGUUUUGCCCACAUAUAUAUGUAAGUGCACUGAAUGCAUACCUGAUCCUGAGAGGCCCGAAGAAUUCCCUGCAACUGGAGGUUUGGAUGGUUGUAUGUGGGAGCUGGGAACUGAAACCAGGUGCUCUGGAAGAGCAGCCAGUGCUCACAACUACUGAAUUAUCUCUCCGGCCUGAGUGGCCAUACAGGAUAAAUAGGGACUGGAACAAGAAUGUGAUGGAUACCAACAAAUCUCCAUGCUUUUGGUGAUGUCUUCAAAUGUAAUGACCCUUCCUCUGGCCCUUCUCAGUGACCCUUGGCACUAAUGGGACACAGUUUGACCAGCUGCUUCCCACUCCUGCUGUCUUGGCUUCCUCACUGUGAUGGACUGUAUCAUGAACUGCAAGCCAGAAUGUACUCUGCCUUCCUUGAGUUCUGCCAGGGAAUUUUGUCACAGCAACAGGAAAAGUAAUACAGACUCAUUCUCAACGUUUGACUUUCAGCACUGUAAAAUGAUACAUUUACUUUAUCUUAAGGGGAUUAUCUCAUCUUCAAAGAUGAAGUAAAAGAGAGAAGACAAGGAAGGAAGGAGGGAGGGAGGAACAAAGUAAAGAAGAGGAAGAAACUUUACUCUCUUUGAAAUGCAAGAGGGGACGCCAACAAAAGUGGUCAGCAUAUAGCAAGAGCCACAAGGAACUGAACCUCGGUGGAGCAUAUUCUAACAAUCCCUGAGUCGAUUUUAAUGGCAAAGGGUGUCUGGUAGAAAAAUGACAAGGGGCAAGCAAGUAGAGAAGUGUGAAGUUUUGAAGCAUUGUCCUGCUGAGAUGUUAUAAAUCCUUACGUUUUUAUAAUACCUAAGGCAGAGUCAUUCUUCAGCAAAUUACACUUCUUUGUCAUCAUGGGUAAGGAACUGGCCCUCCUGGGUGUGUUCUAAGGACUGGUGAUCUCCUGCUGUGGCCCAUGGAGUAAGUCCUAAAGGAGGCAGGGUGUGAAUAAAGGCUGAGAAGGCCCUU